rnacentral:rRNA from 1 species
UGGGGAUAUUGGUCAAUGGGGGCAACCCUGAACCAGCGACGCCGCGUGAGGGAAGAAGGUCUUCGGAUUGUAAACCUCUGUCUUCGGUGACGAUAAUGACGGUAGCCGAGGAGGAAGCCACGGCUAACUACGUGCCAGCAGCCGCGGUAAUACGUAGGUGGCAAGCGUUGUCCGGAUUUACUGGGUGUAAAGGGCGUGCAGCCGGGUCUGCAAGUCAGAUGUGAAAUCCGUGGGCUCAACCCACGAACUGCAUUUGAAACUGUGGAUCUUGAGUAUCGGAGAGGUAAUCGGAAUUCCUUGUGUAGCGGUGAAAUGCGUAGAUAUAAGGAAGAACACCAGUGGCGAAGGCGGAUUACUGGACGACAACUGACGGUGAGGCGCGAAAGCGUGGGGAGCAAGCAGGAUUAGAUACCCUGGUAGU